CGUCUGACAGUGGCAAUGUUGUUUUUAAACCAAAACAAUUAAUUCUCCAAAAUUGUAAUUUUUAUGUUAAGUUUAGGAGUAUUUAUCAAUUUUAAAACAAUUUACAGUGAAAUACGAGCGAUGAUAACAUUUUUAUUUUUCCAAAUCUUAGGUUAUUUAUAUCUGAAAGACACAAUAGGGGAAUCAGACGCAAUCCAUCUUUCAGUUUGGAAUGGAGUAUUGUUACCAGGAAACACAGAAAACAAUUAGAUUCCUCAUCAUGCGGAGUUUUUACGUUGAAGUUUGCAGAACAUGUUCUUACAGAUAAUGACUUUAUGUUUGACUCAUCAAAAAGGGCUAUAAGAGCAUCAAGACACAUCAUUGGACAAGUUCUUGUUGAUAACAGUGUUAAAGGAUUAUUACAACAACAGCAACCCAAGGCUAUGCCUUCAAGUCCUAA